rnacentral:rRNA from 1 species
UACAGAGGUGGCAAGCGUUGUUCGGAAUUACUGGGCGUAAAGGGCGCGUAGGCGGUUCGUCAAGUCCUGUGUGAAAUCCCCCGGCUCAACUGGGGAACUGCACAGGAAACUAGCGGGCUUGAGUUCGGGAGAGGGAAGCGGAAUUCCGGGUGUAGCGGCGAAAUGCGUAGAUAUCCGGAGGAACACCGGUGGCGAAGGCGGCUUCCUGGACCGACACUGACGCUGAGGCGCGAAAGCUAGGGGAGCAAACGGG